GAAGGUGUAGCUCAGAGGUAGAGUGCAUGCUUAUCAUGUGCAAGGCCCAGGGUUCAAUCCCCAGUACCUCCA
rnacentral:tRNA from 1 species